CUGUGCCACCCACUGGCAGCAUUUUAGGAGAGCCUAAAGCAUCACAACGGCCAUAUUGUUCAGGAUUUCAAAGAGCAAUCGUUUAUCUUUGUGGAUACAAGUAAACGGACAAUGGUGUCCCGACCAUCUGCUCAAGCUGCUUGAGAACAGUCUUCUGUGCAAAUGGCAUGAAAGGAUCAUGCAAAAUGUGCUGUGAGACAUCCAUGUGGAACAGAUAAUUAUGCCACAGGACCUGUAGGAGACCUGCAGCCUCCUAAUGGGCUUGCUGGAGCCAGGAAGGAACAUUCCAAGGUAUCUCUGAGGCAAACUGAACUAGGCCUUAGCUGUCUAGGUAACAGCAAACUUAAAUAUCUUUCUUGCAUGUAGACAGCAGAUGCUGGGUGUGUUAAUCUGAAA
rnacentral:lncRNA from 1 species